rnacentral:rRNA from 1 species
GAGUUUGAUCCUGGCUCAGGACGAACGCUGGCGGCGGGCUUAACACAUGCAAGUCGUACGGUGCCUUCGGGCACAGUGGCGCACGGGUGCGUAACGCGUAGGCAACCUGCCCCAGAGCGGGGAAUAACUCCGGGAAACCGGAGCUAAUACCGCAUAUGGACACUUCUUCGCAUGGAGGGGUGUUGAAAGCCUUCGGGCACUCUGGGAUGGGCCUGCGUCGGACUAGCUGGUUGGUAGGGUAACGGCCUACCAAGGCGACGAUCCGUAGCUGGUCUGAGAGGAUGAUCAGCCACACUGGCACUGAGACACGGGCCAGACUCCUACGGGAGGCAGCAGUGAGGAAUCUUGCGCAAUGGAGGCAACUCUGACGCAGCCACGCCGCGUGAAGGAUGACCCCCCUAUGGGGCGUAAACUUCUUUUCUGUGAGAAGAACUCCUGCCUCGGGCAGGGCUGACGGUAUCACAGGAAUAA